AAUAUAUCGAUACAAUUAAUACGUAUAUGUCUGAUUCUUCUUUCACUCACAAAUCAAAAUUUUGCUAGAGAAAUUUCAGCAAACACCAUCUAAGGUCGUGCAAGUUAAGUUAUAGAAUCUGAGUAAAAUCAGAAAAGCAAACACCUAGUUAGAGAAAUUUGCAUAUCACUUCUUUCCCAGUUCUAUUAAGAGUAAAAUCAACAAACCAAGAUACACAAUUAGGUCUGUUGCUGCUUUGUUAGAGAAGAAUCAACAAAUAGAGAAACACUUAGUGUGACGAGUCUCUCCAAGCUCAAGAAUUUUAAUAUGAAGAAUAUAUCGUUCAAGAAAGUACGGAGCAAGUUGAAGUUAAAGAGACCUUUUACUUUGGUUAAGGGUGGUUUAAAUUAAAGACGAUAUCUUAUUUUAUAUAUAUGUUGCAGUUUUCUU